rnacentral:rRNA from 1 species
CCUACGGGUGGCAGCAGUGGGGAAUAUUGCGCAAUGGGCGAAAGCCUGACGCAGCGACGCCGCGUGAGGGAUGAAGGUCUGCGGAGCGGAAACCUCUGUCAGCAGGGAAGAACGGUCACUGUGCUAAUCAGCAGUGAAUUGACGGUACCUGCAAAGGAAGCACCGGCUAACUCCGUGCCAGCAGCCGCGGUAAUACGGAGGGUGCGAGCGUUAAGCGGAAUAACUGGGCGGAAAGCGCUCGUAGGCGGUCGGUCACGUCAAGGGCGAAAGACCCGCGCUCAACGUGGGAACUGCCUUUGAAACUGUCAACCUGGAGUGUGUGUGAGGAUAGUGGAAUUCCCGGUGU